UACGGGGGGAGCAAGCGUUGUUCGGAUUUACUGGGCGUAAAGGGCGCGUAGGCGGCCACCGCAAGUCAAUUGUGAAUCUCCGGGCUCAACCCGGAAAGGUCAACUGAUACUGCGGGGCUAGAGUGCAGAAGGGGCAACUGGAAUUCUCGGUGUAGCGGUGAAAUGCGUAGAUAUCGAGAGGAACACCUGCGGCGAAGGCGGGUUGCUGGGCUGACACUGACGCUGACAGCGCGAAAGCUAGGGGAGCGAACGGG
rnacentral:rRNA from 1 species